rnacentral:rRNA from 1 species
AUUGAAUGCUGGCGGCAUGCUUUACACAUGCAAGUCGAACGGUAACAGGCCGCAAGGUGCUGACGAGUGGCGAACGGGUGAGUAAUGCAUCGGAACGUGCCCAGUCGUGGGGGAUAACGCAGCGAAAGCUGCGCUAAUACCGCAUACGAUCUAUGGAUGAAAGCGGGGGACCGAAAGGCCUCGCGCGAUUGGAGCGGCCGAUGUCAGAUUAGGUAGUUGGUGGGGUAAAGGCUCACCAAGCCAACGAUCUGUAGCGGGUCUGAGAGGACGACCAGCCACACUGGGACUGAGACACGGCCCAGACUCCUACGGGAGGCAGCAGUGGGGAAUUUUGGACAAUGGGCGCAAGCCUGAUCCAGCAAUGCCGCGUGCAGGAAGAAGGCCUUCGGGUUGUAAACUGCUUUUGUACGGAACGAAAAGGCUCUGGUUAAUACCUGGGGCUCAUGACGGUACCGUAAGAAUAAGCACCGGCUAACUACGUGCCAGCCGCCGCAGUAAAAC